CUCCCAUAUCUUUAAAAUUUAAUUGUGAAAUUUAAAAAAGACGAAGAACAAUAAUAUGAAAUAUGUAUAAAGUUUCAUGCACGAAAAUGUGCUUACAUUUUCACUCAGGCAGAUAUUUUGCUACCCUGCCUGCAGCAUCAUUAGGACCCUCUUAAAUUUCUUUGCGUGGACGUUGCGCGAUUCUUGUCGUUCUGCGGAUGUUGGUUGCAGUCUAGUUGCAGUAUUAUUAUUAGAGAUAUCGUUAGUGAUAAACGGACUUUAUUUUUUUGUGCUAAAUACGAAAAACAUGAGUUUAAAUUCGUUGUGUAAGUUACGCCGACGGCCCGUGCGUGCGUUAACGCUAACCAAAGACCUGCAAAAAGAUAGGCUCUUAUGGCCUCGCCCUCGUGGUCGCAGAUAGAUAACGUUGUUUAUAGUCCAGCUUUAUCGAAUAUGACUUGAGAAUAUUAUGUUCAUCGUUUGUAAAUGUUUACUAAUCCUGAAUAUAGUCGUGUUAGAGUCGAGAACCAAAUUACAAAGAAAUGGACCGAAGUUGCAAGAAUUUUGCUGUUGGGUGGAAACCGACAUUGCCAUGUUAGCUGAUGUCAACCAUUUACAUCCAAUGGGUUGCAUGAGUGAAACAGAUGUUGCCACCUAGCUGAUGCAACCAUUUACAUUACAUCCAAUGGGUGGGAGAAACCGACAUUGCCAGGUUAGCUGAUGUCAACCGUUUACAUCCAAUGGGUUGGAUGAGUGAAACAGACGUUGCCACCUAGCUGAUGCAACCAUUUACAUCCAAUAGGUUGUAUCCCAAAAGGAUGUUUCAUGUCAACAGUAGACGACCAGUUUUCAAUGAAGGAUUUGAAGCCAACGUAGACGUUAAUGUCUUGAGUCCAUGAAUCUAAAAAGGUUGAUGUGGUGCCAGAAUAAUGUGCCAAAGAUUGGUGAAUGUGCCAACCCGACAGGAGUUGGUCGUGGCAGAGGAGUUGUGGCCGGUCAGCGGGACAAUGUCAAGCUUCUCUUGUAUUGUGCAUCAGUUGAAACUAUUUUUUCAUUAUUGUUUUUUAUUUUAUUUUUAGUAUCUGCUUGUUUUUCACUUUCCAAUUCUUUGUAAACGGCGUUUUCUGAAUUAAUUUACUUUUACAUUUAAAAUAAAAAAAAUUACAGCUUGA